AAUGGGGGAUAACGUAGCGAAAGUUACGCUAAUACCGCAUAUGCCCUGAGGGGGAAAGGUGGGGAUCGCAAGACCUAUCGUUUUCGGAGUGGCCGAUAUCAGAUUAGCUAGUUGGUGGGGUAAAGGCCUACCAAGGCGACGAUCUGUAGCUGGUCUGAGAGGACGACCAGCCACACUGGGACUGAGACACGGCCCAGACUCCUACGGGAGGCAGCAGUGGGGAAUUUUGGACAAUGGGGGCAACCCUGAUCCAGCCAUGCCGCGUGAGUGAAGAAGGCCUUCGGGUUGUAAAGCUCUUUCGGACGGAAAGAAAUCGCCAUUCCUAAUACGAGUGGUGGAUGACGGUACCGUAAGAAGAAGCACCGGCUAACUACGUGCCAGCAGCCGCGGUAAUACGUAGGGUGCGAGCGUUAAUCGGAAUUACUGGGCGUAAAGCGUGCGCAGGCGGUUUUGUAAGACAGACGUGAAAUCCCCGGGCUUAACCUGGGAACUGCGUUUGUGACUGCAAGGCUAGAGUGCGGCAGAGGGGGGUAGAAUUCCA
rnacentral:rRNA from 1 species